UAUGAUUGUUCGUACAAUGGAAUUUGCAAUAAUUAAUGACCUGUCAUAUUUUUCACAUACUAGAUGUCUAGAUAUCAAUUCAACGUGUAAUGCGAUAAUAUACAUUUAAACCUUUUUUCUCGUGGCUUUCCAAGCUAACAAGGUUAAAACGUUACCUAUAUAGACGAUCAGCUAGCCGGAGCGAUCGCCCUUUUCACUCAACCGAAUCUAAUAUACAUAAUAAUAUAUAGAGGUCAGUGUAUCAACCACUAGCCUGACUAGAAAAUAUAUUAUACGAUGGUAUAGUCCAAAGCAAUCCAGUUGCUUUCAAAUGUAUGAUCGUAUCUCACAGAAAAUUGUUGAUUGUAUGUUUUUCAAAAAACUGGCUUGAUAGACCGGCCAGGAUCUACCAGAAAGGUCAGCCAAACUACUUUUAGUUGAAAAGAAGCAAAAAAAUUGUCUCAAUUUAUCAGCUGAAUAAAUGGAUGAAUAUUCAUUGGAUAGAAACACAACAAAUCAUUUGAAGAUCGCAGAUCACGCUGACUUCAAAAUACAACAAGAGUUUGGUGUUCCCAGCAAAGCAGUGCUUGCAAAAUUAUUUUAAGCCAGCGUCUGUGGUUGAAAAAGUAUGUUGCUCAAAAAUGAUUUUACAAAUGUGGGAUAAGUUUAGACAAAAUUUA